GAAAUAUACAUAAUGGCUUACACGAGGGUAAGCAAUAGCCAGAGUGAAAGAAUAUUAGACUAAACAACUCACAAGUAAAAUGAUUAACUUUUAACAAUUUACAAGCAUUCAACUAUCACAUUUACCUUUACAUUGCUUUUCAUCAUUUCUUUUUACAUCACAUCUCCUCAAAAUAAAAGAUUACAUUCUUUGCUUUAACAUCUUUAAUCAUCAAAUA
rnacentral:lncRNA from 1 species